AAAGGUGGUGAGAUCAUGACCGUCCUGCUUUGACAUGCCCCGCAACAAAAGGCCGUUCUGCAUUCUGACACUGUACUCGCCCCCUCCAUAAAAGCCUGUGGUUACUGCGCUAACGGUCCAUAAUUUGAGGCAUCAACCCCAAAUCAUGGCCGCAUCUGCUACACGGAGGAAAAUAAAAACAAAGCUGUGCAAACAAGGUCAACCCAAACAAGAGGGCAGACUAAUACCCAGAGGAAUGUUCGCGAGGCGCCAUGCCUGGGGCUGCAGCGGCCCUGGGAUCAGCGCAUGACGGCGUCUGAGUGAGAAGCUGCGCUCUUUCCAGGCUUUGUAGAUUCACUCCUGUUCGACAGAUGAAAAUAUGAACGUUAUGUGAACUCUGACCUACUAAAAAGUAACCGGAGAGAGUAGAAAAGCAGUCGGUGAUUACAGGGUGUCUACACAUUUUUCUGACUUUUUUUUGGCAGUAUUUUCUUUAUUAGCAUUUGUUUGCAAUAUUCCAAUAUGGGAGCUGCAAACAUGGAGAGAAGAGCAAUUUAAAAGGAAGAUAGUGAAUAAAGUCUGAAAAUGUUGAUUAUUUUUAUACUUUAUACCACACAAAUGAAUGGAAGAUAGCCAGAUGAAAACAUCUGUUAUAGAACGAAAAAAAUAAGCAUUCUCCCAUAAUCUCUUUUGUUUAAAAAAAAAAAAACAGAUGAAUGGAUAGUGCGGGUUACAGUCCGGAAUUUUUUUUUUUUCCGUUUUCUUUUUAGAUAUUUAUCCAGGUCUGCGCAAGGUGCACUUUCACUGAAACGGACCAAUAGAAAGUAAGGUCUGGUUAGUUUGGAUUUAGCUUUAAAGUGGGGAAAGUUGAUCCCGUUUUCACUAAUUAUUCCCAAGAAGGGGACCUGCAACAUCCUGGGGACAAUUGGGGGAUAUAAAAGCUGAUAUUCAGAACCAACACUAACAGAACUCGAGCAUUGUGGAACAUUGUGGAACAACUCUUAAGGCAAAAAUGAGAACAGACGUCAUGGGAAAGGUAACGUGAGCACCAAAAGCUUUCCUUAAUGUUUCCCCACUUUAAAGUGGCUGCCUAAACGCAAACUCUCAUCCCUUCAUGGCGCCGCGGAGUGGCCGACGUCCAGUCUCCUCUGGGCGGAGCCUCUUUUCCGCGCGGCUGGCACGGCACUCACUACACUUCCCAGAGUUCCUGGGGUCUGGAAGAACUCUUUGGAAGAGGAAGCUGUGGUUUCCUUGGGUGUAUGUGGAGUCUGAAAAGAGAGCAGAAGAAAGAUGUGACUGGAGACUCCAUCUUGGCUGACCUCUGACCUUCAGGCGCCCAUUCUUGCUGCUCCGGCGGCUUGUAGAGCAUGACGACGGAGGGGUGUGAGAGGCUGGGCAGAGCUGCUGAAUUUCACGGGCCCCAGCCACCUGAAGGCCGGCUUCCUGGCUCUUUCCUCUCUGACAUAAACCUUCCUGAUGAGCUCCAGGCUGGUCAGGACAUUGGCGAUGUCAUACAGACGCCGCACCUUGGCUAAACGGGAGUCCUGGCUCUCCUCGAUGAGGACCUUGGCCGCCGCGUCCAGGGUAACGGUUUGAGUUUUGGACACCAGGAAGAGCAUGACAAACUUCUGGCUCAUGAUGCGCAGAGAUUUGUCCUUUCUGUUGCCCCCGGCUGCAGAACGAAGCAGAUUUAAGUUCACACUCAGGCUAUUUGAGAAGAGG